GAUAGAGUUAACAGGAAAUGACACAUUAUUAUAAUACAUGUUGAAUAGCUUCUAGUCAGGAUAGAGUUAACAGGAAAUGUGACAUCAUUAUUAUUAUAAAUGUUGAAUAGCUUCUAGUCAGGAUAGAGUUAACAGGAAAUGUGACAUCAACCUCUCUUUCUUUUCUGUCCUCUGGUUUUCUGCAGCUGUUUUUCUCAGGGUGUCAGAGAAUGAACAAGAUUUUGGACUGCAUGAGAACAAAGUCCUCAAUAAACAAAUACAAUUUGAGUUUACCUAGUUACUUCAAAUCUAGUUUAACACGCAUCGUUCCACAAAAUAUAUUAGGGGUGUUGCAAAUUACGUUUAUUUCAAGCGGAACUGUUUGGAUUGAGACAGGACCUUUUGACCUUGGAACGCUCCUCCCGAGACACCGCUGUGUGUGUACAGGCAGAUAUGGCCCUGCCUUUCAAUGGGGUUGUUACAACCUGGGCCUGUCCCUCCUGUCAUCUCCAGAUUCAUCAUACGAGUGUUACUCUGUGAACCCCGUGACGGGCUCCCCCAGCUCCUGCCGUCGGAGCCCCCGCCUCCUCAACAACGGCUACUACGUUCUGACUGAGGACAGCUACACCUGGGAUGACGAGGGCAAUGUCUCUCUCACCCCCUCCAAAAUCAAACUGUCCUACAAAGAGAAUCUAGUCAGAAUCUUCAGACGCAGGCGGAAGGCCCGCCGGUCUCUAGCUAGUCUGUUUAGUGACAUGACUGAGACGUGUCAGUCAUGGCUGGAUGAGAAAGUGUUCGGAGGGGUGCGUCACCCACCUCUUGCAGAGUCCUCCUGGAUGGAGCAUAGCACCACCGAUUUGGACACCAGCUGCAGCUUCACUUAUGCUGUAGUCGUGUCUCCUUGGCCAUUCCAGAUGACAGUGAGACCAUGCCCACGAAGUUGGCUCACGAGCCCAUGGUGCAGGAGGAGAUCAUCACGGAGACCUGCGUCCACCAGGAGCAUUUCGGCCAAUCCCUGGGUGGCCUUCUGGAUGUCCCGCCCCCCUCAGCCUUCCUCUCCAAUAGCUGCUGUCCCCCUAAACCCCAGCCAGCAGAUUUUCCCAUGGCGAAAGCUCUCUUCAUCAUUCUCAUGGUCUUUAUCUUCUCUGCCAUAUUUUCAAGGUGUCUGUUGUGGGGACUGACAAUGGCAUUCAGCACAUUUAUAUCGAUAAUGAUAUAUCUGUUUGUCUCACAAUCUGGGCCCAUGGGCAAGUGGAGAAAAGCGAAGACCGAGGAUAUUACAUCAAAGAAUGAGUAGAUGAAAGCUGUGCACACACACACACACACACAAUAUCUGUUUACUCAUGAAAUGAAUCUAUGAUAAUGAAAAGGGUGGAUGUAUGAUAAUGAAAAGGGUGGAUGUGGACCACAAGAAAAGAGUCAUAGAUUCUUACAUUUCAUUAGAUAAAUGCGUGUAGAUUGCACUUGCACAUAAUGUAACACGAGUUCCAUUAAUCUGGUCAUAAAAGCCGGCUAUUGGGCUCAAUUGAGCGGGUAUAGGGUGACACUGGUCAUGCAAAAAUGAGCACUGAUCAGUGGAAUAAAUACAAAAAAAACGCAUAAUCAAAAGCAAUUUAAUUAGAAACUCCAAAGAUGUGCGUUAGGAGAAGAUGAUUUUAACUGUAUUUUUGUAAACCACGAUGCAUUGCGUAUUUGGAACUUGUAUUUUUGUAAACCACGAUGCAUUGCGUAUUUGGAACUUGUCUUGGAUAAUAUGCCUUCCAGACUAUGCUAGUUAUUUUACUCACUGAUCACUGCCAUUUGCUUGUCCAAGAUGUUUCCCAUAAUCCUGAAUCUAAAAAUAAAUCGGUAAUAUUCAUAUCAUAUAUUCAUAUCACAUAUUAUGCACACAUGUUUUUAAUAUAUGUUUUUAAUAUAUUCUUCAAAUACCUGAAUUGAUAUUGUUGAUAGUUGAUCUUGGGUUUUUUUAGGGCUGUCCAGUGUUACUUAUUUUCUAGCUUCCAGUAUUUUGAAUACAAUUGCAGGGCCAUUAAAGUAGCAGUAGCAGUGGCUUGCAGUCUGAGACCUGUUUUUUUUCCUCACAAAAAUGACAGCUGCAACUUUUAAUCUGAAUAGAAGCAAAUGGAAAUACAACAUGCUAAUAAGUGCCUUCUUUAGCCUGGCUUAGCUAAUAGCAUGCUGUGCCUGCUAAACAAAACAGGCCUACAUGUCAGUAGGCAGUAGACUGCGGAAUCAGAUAACAGCCUAUCUGCUCAUGGUAGUGCUGAAACGCGUAUAGAAAUGUUUCUAUUCAAGGGAUAUGGGGAGGAGUUGGUCAUUUUUCAUAAUACUCAUACCACUAGCUGCCUCCUGUGGUUAACCACAACCACUUAUCAGUGGAUCACAAUAAUGGAAUGUGAAUGUUGAGGAUAAUGACGGCUGCAAAGAAUAAAACAAUCGCCCCCCCCCCCUCCCUUUGACUCAUUAAAUGGUACAAUGUUGAGUAUGUAAUGGCAUUGAAGGCUGAGGGAAAGUGUGUUUUCUGUCAGGAAAAGGAACAGGGCACAGUAACUGAAUAAAGUUCAUAUUGUAUAGCUUUAUAUAGUUGAAAUAUGAGUCGUGUUUUUGGACCUCAAACUACAGCAGGACUCUUUUGAGAAUCAAAAAAAAUAGGUGACUUGUACUUUAAUAAUGAGUUAAUUUUGUACAUCUCAACUCGCCAUUCUUUGUAAUACAUUGCAUGUUGUUGGUCCUUUAGAAAAGCUGUAUCUAAUCGUCUCCGUAUAUGUACUAUGUGUCCAGACGAAAGUGACUUGAGAAGUGUUGCUGUAUGUAUUCACUCCAAGUGCCAAAUCUGAAUGAUUUUACAAUUCUGACCAGAAAGUGUUAAAUCACCAAUACUUCAUCAAUAAGCCAAAACUAAUAUAUAACAAAAAAAAAAGUUGCCGGUAGACACCAUUUUAUUGCUAGUUUAUUGUAAACAAAAGCUAAUGUACAUACUACAGUAUAUGAAGACAACAUGGCUGUUAUUUCUUUGUAAUAUUCAUGAUUUAUUGGCAUAUACUGAAUGUACUUUACAAGACCUUGAGAUGUAAGUAAUUGCCUAUUGUGUACAUUUGGUCACUUACAGUACCUUUUACAGAAACCAGUUUGAAAUGUUACUUUUAAAAAAAUAAUUUCUAAUGCUUUGAUACUCAACUAGUUUCCACAUUUGCAAAAUGUGUGGUUCUUUGUAAUGCAUGUUUAUCUUUUGCACUCAUAUUGGAUGUAUCUGAAAAUGUAAUCAGUUGUACUGUUUUUAUAUUCUUUAAUAGUUAAUGAGCUAUAUUGCACUGAAAUGUUCAUCUUUUCUAACAGAUUUGUAAAAUAGUUCAACUCAAUUGGCUUUAUACAACAUUAAAUGUCAUUUUUUUAUAGUU